CUACGGGGUGCUCCAGUGGGGAAUAUUGCACAAUGGAGGAAACUCUGAUGCAGCAACGCCGCGUGGAGGAUGACACUUUUCGGAGCGUAAACUCCUUUUAUAUAGGAAGAAGAUGACGGUACUAUAUGAAUAAGCGCCGGCUAACUCCGUGCCAGCAGCCGCGGUAAUACGGAGGGCGCAAGCGUUACUCGGAAUCACUGGGCGUAAAGAGCGUGUAGGCGGAUUAAAAAGUCAGAAGUGAAAUCCUAUAGCUUAACUAUAGAACUGCUUCUGAAACUCUUAAUCUAGAAUAUGGGAGAGGUAGAUGGAAUUUCUGGUGUAGGGGUAAAAUCCGUAGAGAUCAGAAGGAAUACCGAUUGCGAAGGCGAUCUACUAGAACAUUAUUGACGCUGAGACGUGAAAGCGUGGGGAGCAAACAGGAUUAGAUACCCUUGUAGUC
rnacentral:rRNA from 1 species